CGUGAACACUAUAGAAUUGCAUCAAUUGGCAGGCUAGGACAUACAUAAGCUGUUCCCUUGAAAUUCCUGGAACUACUCUUGGAGCAAAUUUUCUCCCCAGCUGGGAAGGGGAUGUUUGGGGUUGUAGGGGCGAGAGGGAGUAUGUAUAUGCUGUCACAUUAGGCUUUCUCGAUUAUUGUGUUUUGUGCAUGAGUAUCACAUUGCACUUUGAACUUACAUUCUCAAAUGCACACAUUCUCUUCCAGAUAUCAGGUGCAGCACUAGAGAAUUCAGAUUCCAAAUCCUUCUGAGGUGAUCGUGUAGCUUUAAUAUUGGGCACGCUGGAGCAGAAGCGUGCAGCUGAAAACUUGAUUCAAGCAUUCAUAAUGGCUACUUAAAUUAUGAAGAUACUUUGGUCCACUUAUAUUUGAAAACUGUGGUUCAGUGUUGGUUCUUCCAUCAAUCGUUUAUCCUCUAUUUUAUUUCAUAGGCUUCUGCUGGACUCAGUUUUCUUCUGUUGGGAAUCUUAUGAAGAUGCUUGAAGUUUAAUAGCAUGUUCUGUUUUCAAGCCAUAUAGGUUCUACCAGUGUUGCCUGAUAAAUUCGAUUCAUCCAUGGUAGAUGUUGAUAGGAUGUUUGUCGAGCCUUUGUGCAUCUUACUUCUGAUAUGCUUUUCUGGUGAAUUUGAUGUUGAGUUGAUUGUUAAACUCAUAAUACAAGGAUCCUUCAGUUAGUUCCUAUUCCUUCCUCUCAGCUUCUUCUCCUGUCUUUUGAUAUAUAUGUGAUUGAUCCAGGUCUCUUCCUCGCAUGCCCGUCUGUGCUGUUCAUAUGUAUAGAUGUAAGUGCUAAACGACCCUCUCCUGUUGAAAUGCAGGUUCUAUGAGGCAUUAUCUCGUCCCAAUCUGAAUACUCUUGCUUGAUUGGUACAAGUGUCUAAUGCUUGCUUGAGCCAUGAGACUGCAAUUUCUGAUAAUUCGUAAUUUUCAGUGUACGCUUACCUAUUUACUCUUCCACAAAUACUACUAAAUCAUAC
rnacentral:lncRNA from 1 species